GUGCUGGUAGGUGGAAGGGUCUCCAGCGCUGGCCUGGGUUAGAGGCAGGCCUUCGGUGGCCGGGUCGACCCAGCUGUGGGAACUGGGGCAGUGCAUCGUUCUCUCCCACUCAGCCCUCUGCAGCAGCCCCAGGUGCUUGAGCAAGGGUAGCGGAGACUGUCAGUGGGUGCGCGUGUCAGAGCACAGGGUGGGGAGACCCCACUUCAACAAAGGCAGGACCCAAGGCUGGGCUGUUGCGUGAGUGAUACUGCUUGUAUUUCAAUCCCCAAGGCCCUUUCUCCUCCAGGACUGUGGUCUGUGGCAUCUAAGAUCUGGGGUUUUGGGAGUCUAAGUGUAGAUGGCACGAGAUUGACCUUCCCCAGUUAAGUCCCUUCUGUUUGGUCUCCAGCCAGGGGAUCGAGCUGGAGUUUAUUUUCCGGGGAGGGGGGGCUUCUGCCCCCACCAGAGUCCCCAGCGCAUGCUUUUGGCUUCCUCUCCCCACUCUUGGUCCCUGUCUUUAUCUACACUCACCCCUUGGAGGUCUCAUCCAUCUGCCGAGAUCGCCUGGAUUGACACCUCCCGCCCACCCCCAGCUGUUGCUGUGUGGCAGGGGAAGUGGCAGACUUCUCAGCCCCAAACUCAGCUCUUCUCUGCUGCCCCUGCCUCCGAGAUUCUCCUUGGGUUCCCUCUCUGUCAGUGAGGAGCAAUGGGUGGCGACCCCCCCACCUUCCACAUGCUCAGGCCCAAACCCCAGAGUCAACCCUGUCUCUAUUCUCACGUCCCAUGUGGAAGCCACCAGGAAACCCACUGGACCCUCUUUCAAGAUAGAUCCAGAAUCUGACUACGACUCCCGGCCUUUGCAGCCAUCGUCCGGGCCAGGAUCCCAGCAGCAGCCCCCUCCCUGGGGUCCCAGCCUCUGCCUUCACCCCUCCACCUCACUCUACAGUGGUGGUGGGUGUUCAAUGACCAGGGUCAUGUCCAGCCCUGUGUGUUUCUGCCAGUCUCCACCGGCCAGUGGAUGGGGGGACUCAGCGACUGCCCUGGAUGGCCUGCCUGCACCCCGGAAGUGCCCCGGAGUGUCCCAGCCAGUCCCUCAGCUCCGCGUGGAUGGAUGACCAUCUGCAGAUUUCAGGCCAGUGGUGCUCCCCAGCUCGGCUGUCCCGCAGGUCCUGCUGGACACCAGCCGCCCAGG
ensembl:lncRNA